rnacentral:rRNA from 1 species
AGAGUUUGAUCAUGGCUCAGAGUGAACGCUGGCGGCGUGCCUAAUACAUGCAAGUCGAACGCGAAAGUCCUUCGGGAUGAGUAAAGUGGCGCACGGGUGAGUAAUACAUGAGAACAUGCCCUUAGAUGGGGAAUAACGUUUGGAAACGAACGCUAAUACCGCAUAAUCUCGCGAGAGUAAAGGUGGCGCCGCAAGGGCUACCGUCUAAGGAUUGGCUCAUGUCCCAUUGGCUAGUUGGCGGGGUAAUGGCCCACCAAGGCAACGAUGGCUAGCUGGUCUGAGAGGAUGACCAGCCACACUGGGACUGAGACACGGCCCAGACUCCUACGGGAGGCAGCAGUGGGGAAUAUUGCGCAAUGGGCGAAAGCCUGACGCAGCGACGCCGCGUGGGUGAUGAAGGCCUUCGGGUCGUAAAGCCCUGUCGCAGGGGAAGAAUAAGCAUCGGUAUAAUACGCCGGUGCCCUGACGGUACCCUGCAAGAAAGCACCGGCUAACUCCGUG